UUUACGUGACGGACGAUGACGCCAUCUACUCGGCCAUCCUGAGGCUGUGUGCUGCAGGGUAGCCGAGGGUUGGCAAUGCAUUGGUGCUGAGGUCAUGCGCGGUGGGUGGCAGAGAGAGAGAGAGAAACAGAGAGAGAGCACAGACUCAAAGAUACUGAACCUGUCUGCCAGGCGAAGCAAACUGGUCCGGGAAGCAAAGCAAACCUGCCGGUUUGGCUGAGUAAACCAACUGACGUGGCGCCCUCUGUGACAAAAGCUUACGUGGCUCUAAUGACGUGGCAAGCAAAGGCCCGAUGUCCUUGAGUUGAGAUUAACAUGUCUGAUGGUACGGCAACUAAGUGGCGACUUAUCCCAUGGCAUGACAGAUGAGGUUGUGGCUGACGUGACAGGUGACAAAGAUGGCUCGAGCUCAUUGAUGCCUUAAAGAUGUUAGGGAUACGUGUGCAAAACUUCUGGCGCAUAUCUCCCAAUUGUAGUGAUACAUAAUGGCAUAUGAGGGCACGAGCGACAGCAUGAUACAAUGAAAUAUUAU
rnacentral:lncRNA from 1 species